rnacentral:rRNA from 1 species
GACGAACGCUGGCGGCGUGCUUAACACAUGCAAGUCGAACGGAAAGGCCCUGCUUUUGUGGGGUGCUCGAGUGGCGAACGGGUGAGUAACACGUGAGUAACCUGCCCUUACUUUGGGAUAACUUCAGGAAACUGGGGCUAAUACCGGAUAGGAGCUCCUGCUGCAUGGUGGGGGUUGGAAAGUUUCGGCGGUUGGGGAUGGACUCGCGGCUUAUCAGCUUGUUGGUGGGGUAGUGGCUUACCAAGGCUUUGACGGGUAGCCGGCCGGAGGGGGUGACCGGCCCAGUGGGGUCGAGGAUCCGGCCCGGACCCUACCGGGGGGAAGAGGGGGGGAUAUUGCCCAAAGGGGGGGAGCCCUAUGGCCGCAACCCCCGGGGGGGGAGGAGGGCUUUCGGUUGUAAAACCGUUUUCCCCUGGAACGAGGGGGGGGGACGGGAAAGGGGAAAAAAAGCCCCGGCAAACUACUG